CGUACGGGAGAUGUAGCGAUGAGACAUGACAGUAACUACUAAUAAUUGGAUACCACAAAAUUGGGGAGAAAAGGGGGGGAAAAAAACAUGUUUUUGCAACAACAACUGAAUGUCUAAAACUUCAGGCAGGCUGGCUGGCUAGCUAUAAUUUCAAUGCUACCUAAGCCUUAGCUGCGCUAGCUCGCGAAUCGCAUGAACAUAUUUGCAAAGCUCACAAAGCUCAUUUGUCCUAGGACAACCCUGUAAAAACUUUGCUAAUAUCUACAACAUAUCAGCUUUCCAACAGCACAGAUAUUACUUUUGAAUACCCUUUGAAAUAUGAAUAUUUCAUCUAAGCCUAUGAUGUAGAAAUGAACAGCUUCAGAUAUAAACCAGGAACGUUAACGUUAGGACUAUGGCACUGUUUGAACAGGAAUCGCAGUCCCAUCCAUGGUCUCUAUUUUCAAAAACCGUCGUCUUGCAAAAUGGAAACUAUGCAGAGGAGCCUUGAGUGGGCUAGGGGGAGGCUGAUAAAUGUUGGGUUUACGGUUGUUUUCAUUUUUUCACUCUUUGCUCUCCUGCUGCCCAUUCUAUUCGUUCUUUUUAUGUCUUGGCUUUAAAAUCCAAUAUUAUAAAAAUGUUAAUUGGCCACAAUUUGUGACAGUUACUAUAAUGUAAAAGUGUUUUUGGAAUGAGAGGGGUGGGCUGUGUCACAAUACAUUAGGUACCCUAAACACAAUGUAUUAUUCUUACAGCCAGUUCCAGUUACUGGGCUUCUCGGACUUGGAGAGGAGCUAGAGGUGCACCUUGUUAUGCCAUCACUCAAGAGCAACUGAGGUUUCUGAUAUCCUGUGCUUUCAGUGUGUCUCAGAUGGCAGAUAUUCUACAUGUGUCCUGAUCGACAGUCAAACGUUGUCUAAGACACUUCAAUCUGUCACAUGCACCAUUAUAUUCUGACAUGUCAGACUUGGCUCUGGAUGAAAAGAUUAAGGACUGGUGGCUGGGAACGACAAACGUGGAGCGGAGGCUGUUCGAUCACAAUUAAGAGCUCUGGGUGCAGAGACGCAAACUCGUUAUGGCACCUUGAUGGAAACCACAAACUGAUAAGCAACAAUCGCAGCAGUACAGUAAUGGAUUGCUUCGUGAAUGCUGUUUCCAGAUAUGGCGUUCCCUCCAGAGUUAGGACGGACCAUGGAGGAGAAAACAACACUGUCUGCUUGUUGAAUACUACUUCUACAAACAAGGCUACACUUGUGGCAGCACCUAUUCCUGUGCCCCCCCCCCCCAUCUUCUGCACCACUUCCUGCGGCCUCCCCUCCACCAUUCCCUGAGGCUUAUUGUCCACCUUCGCCACACUCUUCUGUUGAUGUUGAGGACAAUGAGUAAGUCCUCCCUGUAAAUAAUUCAAUGUCUUGUUAUUACAGAUGAAAUGUGGGAAGUAUCUGAGCUUUGCUAUUCUGAAUGUUUUUUGUUGUUGUGUUGACCUCCAAACACUGCUGAAGUUAAUGAGAUGCCAACCAAGUUAAUGUGGUGAUUGACAACAUUUAUGAUUGUGCAAUGAGAGGCUUUAAGAGAGCCAGCUUUAGUCCAGAGGCAAAAAUAGACAUGGUUUUUUGGGAUGCUGACAGAAAAGGGGCAGCUGAGGGUGGUCCCUCGAGAGGGUGGUCCUCUCCUGCUGCUAAUGAGUGCCAUCCAUUCCUCUGCAAUAUUUGAGGGACCUGAUUGGCAAAAAUGCCUUUCUUGCAACUCUCACGGUGAGUUACACUUUAACACCAACAAAGACACAUUUGUUUAUGGCAAUAUAUAUGACUUGAGUAAGACAUUUGAUUUUUGUAUGUAAUGUGUCCUUUAUUUACUGUUUGUCUUCUGUGUGAUGGCACUCUAUGAUGGCGUAUACAAGCAGGUUGGCCGCUUGAUUGCUGUCUGUCUGGUACAUGGGGGUGUAGAGACACAUUUUUUCAGAGGCUAUACAGGCAAGUGUGUGGCCAACAACCUCCUGUGCCAGAACUGAAAGAAAUUGCGGAAUAUGACUUCAGAGAGAAGUUGGAGAAGGUAAGUACUUUAUACUGUGAUGAAUGUUAUGAUACUGUUCAUUUGCACUAAGUUUGAAAAAAAAAUGGUAUUGGUUCAUGAAUACUUUUCCACAUGGAUUUGGUUUCCUUUUGUUGGCAGUCAAUCUUUUUUAUAAUCAGUGAUAAUCAGUUUAUUGUUUUGCUAAUUUGUCCUAAAACACAGUUCAAUAAACAAUCUAAAAUCCAGUUAGCAUAAACUGUUGAUGAGGCACCGGAAGCGGUCAUGUUGGGUCCAGUGCAAUACAUUCGUACAUUGGAGAGGGAUGCCCUGGUGGAGUCAACCACACAGUUUUACUUAGAAAGCAGGAUACGGGAUGCUCUUGAGCAGUGAGUUUCCAUAUGUCUAAUUAAUCUCAAGUUUAGUUAAAUUCUUCAGGGCAAAUUAAUGUACUUUUUUUAACUUUAUAGAUUCAAAGAGGGUCUGAAGUGUCUAGGUCUCCUGCCUUAUAUGAAUAGACACUCAAGCCUCUUCGUCUACGCUGAGAAACCUCUUUUGGCCAAAGACAUAGCUUCUCUCUUCAAAGAAGAGCACUCCCCACCUGGCACCAAUCAAAGAGCAAUAGAGAAACGAGUCAUAUGUUUCUGGAGGGACUGGCUUCUGGAGGUGGAAGGGGGGAACACAUACCCUUUAACCAUGGGGAAGGUUUUCAUUUUCACUUUGGGGGCUUCAGCAUUCCUAGGCUGGUAUUGCCAGUGGAGCCACAGCUACAGUUCUCUCUGCUACCGCA